AUGCCGACGUUCGCCCUCACGGUACUAAGGGCGCCAAAGAAGUUUAUCAAGGAGGUAGAUAAAGCCAGACGCUGCUUCCUCUGGGCGCAAGAUGAUGAAGCAACCGGAGGAAAGUGCAAGGUUGCAUGGAGCGCGGUCACCACGCCGGAAUCCAACGAAGGCCUCGGCAUCCAUGAUCUAGACAAAUUCACGCGCGCCCUCCGCCUGCGCUGGCUCUGGCUCUCCUGGACCCAUCCAGAGCGGCCAUGGGUAGGCUAGGACACGCCAUGCAACCUGCAGGAUCAAGCCCUCUUUGCUGCCAACACGACGGUCACCAUCGGGGACGGCACCGACGGCGUCCUUCUGGUCAAGUACUUGGCUUGGCGGCAGGCCACUCCGGCUGGUCUACCCCACCAUGUACGCCUGUUCCAUCCGCAAAAACAGGUGCGUCCGGGACGCGCUGCUCAACGGGCGAUCGAUACUUGA
rnacentral:rRNA from 1 species